AUUGAACGCUGGCGGCAGGCUUAACACAUGCAAGUCGAGCGGAGAUGAGGUGCUUGCACCUUAUCUUAGCGGCGGACGGGUGAGUAAUGCUUAGGAAUCUGCCUAUUAGUGGGGGACAACAUUCCGAAAGGAAUGCUAAUACCGCAUACGCCCUAUGGGGGAAAGCAGGGGAUCUUCGGACCUUGCGCUAAUAGAUGAGCCUAAGUCGGAUUAGCUAGUUGGUGGGGUAAAGGCCUACCAAGGCGACGAUCUGUAGCGGGUCUGAGAGGAUGAUCCGCCACACUGGGACUGAGACACGGCCCAGACUCCUACGGGAGGCAGCAGUGGGGAAUAUUGGACAAUGGGCGGAAGCCUGAUCCAGCCAUGCCGCGUGUGUGAAGAAGGCCUUUUGGUUGUAAAGCACUUUAAGCGAGGAGGAGGCUACCUGGAUUAAUACUCUAGGAUAGUGGACGUUACUCGCAGAAUAAGCACCGGCUAACUCUGUGCCAGCCGCCGCGGUAAAAC
rnacentral:rRNA from 1 species